AUUGAACGCUGGCGGCAUGCCUAACACAUGCAAGUCGAACGAGGUAGCAAUACCUAGUGGCGGACGGGUGAGUAACACGUAGGAAUCUGCCUUAAAGUGGGGGACAACCCGGGGAAACUCGGGCUAAUACCGCAUAAUCCCUAAGGGGUAAAGGGGCCGAAAGGUCUCGCUUUAAGAUGAGCCUGCGGCAGAUUAGCUAGUUGGUAGGGUAACGGCCUACCAAGGCAAUGAUCUGUAGCUGGUCUGAGAGGACGAUCAGCCACACUGGGACUGAGACACGGCCCAGACUCCUACGGGAGGCAGCAGUGGGGAAUAUUGGACAAUGGGGGCAACCCUGAUCCAGCAAUGCCGCGUGUGUGAAGAAGGCCUUCGGGUUGUAAAGCACUUUUAGUGGGGAAGAAAAUUUGCGUGCUAAUACCACGCAAGCAUGACGUUACCCGCAGAAAAAGCACCGGCUAACUCUGUGCCAGCAGCCGCGGUAAGACAGAGGGUGCAAGCGUUAAUCGGAAUUACUGGGCGUAAAGCGCACGUAGGUGGAUUAUUAAGUUGGAUGUGAAAUCCCUGGGCUUAACCUAGGAAUUGCAUUCAAAACUGCUA
rnacentral:rRNA from 1 species